ACAUGAGAAAAUGACAUAUUUCUCCCUCGCUUGAUUUGCGGCCCUCGCCUCGUGCCAACAAACUUCUGCGCUCGUGAGAAAUAUGUCUUUUCUCUCACUUGUUGUACAAUAUACUAUUUUUUAAUUUUCAAUGAAUUUUGAAUGUACAUAUAGUAAAAGUAUGAAAAAUGGUUAAACAUUUCAGUAAGAUAAAAGUAAAGCUAUUUGAUGGGACAAAAAACAAUAAUACCUUCAUAAUACAAUUUGCCACAACAGACAAACUGUUUUGAUUGUACAAAAGGUUUAUUCAGUUCUCGGUAUUGAUCAGUUUAAUAAAAUGUAUUGUAAAAAGUAUUCAAAUAAUAUACGAAAGUAUAAUACAGUGAGAAAUAAUUACAUACUAAUAAACAGUACUAAUCUCAUGUGCUCAUCUGAUUAAAGAAUUUUAUUGGAAGCAUUUUAGCGAUAUAAUAAAGAUGAUGAUUGCAAAAGAAACAGAGAGUUAAUGGAAAAUGUGCUCGCUAACAUCCAUUAGUGGAUUUGCAUCUAAAGAAGAAGAAAAAUAAUAAUAAAGAUGGGUAAGACUGUGAAAAAAUGUAUGCCGAAAAUAGUACUCUCAAGAAAGCCAAAUCAAAGAGAAGGAAAGGUAGACCAAAAAAUAGGUAGAAGAGCUGCAUAUGGAAGAUAGACAAAGAAGUAACAUUCAGAACUGGAAAUAAAAAGCCUUGGAAUUAAAAUAAUUAAAACCAAGGUAUUUUAGCCCUAGGCCUCCUAGGUCUGUUGAGCUUUAUAAACACUACUUAUCAUGUAUUGACAGGUUUAUGUAUUAAAAAAGUAACCAUCAUGCUCUGUACCUUCAUCUUUAUGCAAGGUAGGUUUCACCUAGUAACAUUUCUCCAUAGGUUUCUAUCCUGGGUCAUACCAAUAUAUUCCCCUUUACAGACACGUCCUGCCUAAGUGUCUCUCAGGGUCUUCUUUGGUCUUCCUCUUCUACCCCUCCGAGGAACUCACAAAUCAGCAAUUAUUCGUAUUGGGUGAUUAAGGUCUCGAAGUGGAACAUGCCAGAACCAUCACAACCUAUGCUCUCUCAUCUUGGCAUCAAUUGGUAAAACCCCUAGAUUCAUGCUGUAUGAAUAUGAUGUAUGAUCGCCAGAUUGUUCAAAUGGGCAUGAAAAGAAACCAAAUUAUCACCUUAAUUGCCAAUGACAAAUAUGUGUCGUCAGUAUUCAAUAAGUUUGUUCCAACUCGGUACAAAACCGUUCGUGAAUCGUUACGCGCAUGCGCAAUAACGAAUAAUUAUGCGUAGUAACACAUUUUUUGUUACUACGCAUACUCGUAACCGUUCAAGAACGGUUUUGUGUCGAGUUGGAACAGACCUAGUAUGGUGCAAAUGAAGGGAAUAAAUUCGUUAUUUCGUAAGUCGGCGACUUAACGAAAAAUCUUGAAACAGGUCAAUUUUUAUUUUUAAAUUAUGAUUUUUUGGCUUAUUCAAUCAUACUAGUGACAUCGUCCAUCUAGGCGUGAUGACGUAAUCGAUGAUUUUUUUUUAAUGAAAUGAUGUUUGAUUCCAGUAAAGUUUGCUAAUAGUUCUUAAAUCACAGAUGUUUAUUUGUAUACCAGCGGACAAACUGUAUAAAGUUUGUUUAGCAGAAAAUGGUUAACUUCAAUUAGUACGGUCGUAAAUAUAAUUAAAUUUAUCUGACGUGGCCCAUUGUUAAGACCGGUCCGGAGCGAUAAGCAAACGAGGUAGACAGAGUUGGUCUUUUGACAAUUAACACUGACUAGACGGUACUCCUAUAAUAAAGCAAAGGAUCCACAAAAUUUUUACCUGAAAUACGUGAAUGAAACAUAUUUUACUUGAAACCGGGCCUUUUAUACUAUUAUCGGUUAACCCAGGAUGUUUAUAGUCGGUACUAAUUGAAGUCAACCAUUUAUUGCUAAACAAACUGUACCAGCGUUAAACUGAUAUGAAGUUAGACUGUUACGAUGGUUAGGCUUAGAGCAAGUUCAGAAUUGCUGAAAAUUAGAAUUAGAAAAUUAGAAAUUAUGAGAGUGAUGAAGUCUUUGUAAGCAGUAGAAGAUGGUCAAAGAGGACAUAGGGUGAUACUGUUAGAUCUAACUGUUAUGAUCCCAAGAUAGACAUGUAAAAUAUACUAUAAAAGAUAGGAAAUACAAAUUUUUUCAUAAUUUCGACUGUUUUUUUUUGUGUGAUGUAGGUAUCUUGGUUGUAAAUAUUUUGUAAAUACAUUCGAUAUUUUUUUAUUUAAAAUAUAUUUAAAUAGUUUUAAGUUGAAUCAGCAAAGACUAAUUAGAUAGUUACAUAAUAAUAAUUAACCUUUAAUUAUAAAUAAUAUUGUGUAAAGAUUUCGCAAUUAUAUUUUUCGAUUUUGUAAUAGGUCUGUUCAUUUCGCUUGUCACUUUAUGAAAAAAGUUUUUUUGAAAGUUGUAUCGAUUCUCUAUUUUCAAAAAAGCUAUCACACUUCCAGCUGGCCAAAAAGUUGCUAUUACAUUCUUUGUAUUAUUAUUUUUUUAAUUUACCUAUAUAUUUAUUUAUUUUUAAUAAAAUUUGUGGCAGUAGUA
rnacentral:lncRNA from 1 species